rnacentral:rRNA from 1 species
UUGAUGGCGACCGGCGCACGGGUGCGUAACGCGUAUGCAACCUACCUUUUACAGGGGCAUAACACUGAGAAAUUGGUACUAAUUCCCCAUAAUAUCUGAGACGGCAUUCGUUUUGGGUUGAAAACUCCGGUGGUAAAAGAUGGGCAUGCGUUGUAUUAGCUAGUUGGUGAGGUAACGGCUCACCAAGGCGACGAUACAUAGGGGGACUGAGAGGUUAACCCCCCCACAUUGGUACUGAGACACGGACCAAACUCCUACGGAAGGCAGCAG